GAUGAACCCUGGCGGCGUGCCUAAUACAUGCAAGUCGAACGAGUUCUGAUUAUUGAAAGGUGCUUGCAUCUUGAUUUUAAUUUUGAACGAGUGGCGGACGGGUGAGUAACACGUGGGUAACCUGCCCUUAAGUGGGGGAUAACAUUUGGAAACAGAUGCUAAUACCGCAUAAAUCCAAGAACCGCAUGGUUCUUGGCUGAAAGAUGGCGUAAGCUAUCGCUUUUGGAUGGACCCGCGGCGUAUUAGCUAGUUGGUGAGGUAACGGCUCACCAAGGCAAUGAUACGUAGCCGAACUGAGAGGUUGAUCGGCCACAUUGGGACUGAGACACGGCCCAAACUCCUACGGGAGGCAGCAGUAGGGAAUCUUCCACAAUGGACGCAAGUCUGAUGGAGCAACGCCGCGUGAGUGAAGAAGGCUUUCGGGUCGUAAAACUCUGUUGUUGGAGAAGAAUGGUCAGCAGAGUAACUGUUGUCGGCGUGACGGUAUCCAACCAGAAAGCCACGGCUAACUACGUGCCAGCAGCCGCGGUAAUACGUAGGUGGCAAGCGUUAUCCGGAUUUAUUGGGCGUAAAGCGAGCGCAGGCGGUUUUUUAAGUCUGAUGUGAAAGCCCUCGGCUUAACCGAGGAAGUGCAUCGGAAACUGGGAAACUUGAGUGCAGAAGAGGACAGUGGAACUCCAUGUGUAGCGGUGAAAUGCGUAGAUAUAUGGAAGAACACCAGUGGCGAAGGCGGCUGUCUGGUCUGUAACUGACGCUGAGGCUCGAAAGCAUGGGUAGCGAACAGGAUUAGAUACCCUGAUAGUCCAUGCCGUAAACGAUGAAUGCUAGGUGUUGGAGGGUUUCCGCCCUUCAGUGCCGCAGCUAACGCAUUAAGCAUUCCGCCUGGGGAGUACGACCGCAAGGUUGAAACUCAAAGGAAUUGACGGGGGCCCGCACAAGCGGUGGAGCAUGUGGUUUAAUUCGAAGCAACGCGAAGAACCUUACCAGGUCUUGACAUCUUUUGAUCACCUGAGAGAUCAGGUUUCCCCUUCGGGGGCAAAAUGACAGGUGGUGCAUGGUUGUCGUCAGCUCGUGUCGUGAGAUGUUGGGUUAAGUCCCGCAACGAGCGCAACCCUUAUGACUAGUUGCCAGCAUUUAGUUGGGCACUCUAGUAAGACUGCCGGUGACAAACCGGAGGAAGGUGGGGAUGACGUCAAAUCAUCAUGCCCCUUAUGACCUGGGCUACACACGUGCUACAAUGGAUGGUACAACGAGUUGCGAGACCGCGAGGUCAAGCUAAUCUCUUAAAGCCAUUCUCAGUUCGGACUGUAGGCUGCAACUCGCCUACACGAAGUCGGAAUCGCUAGUAAUCGCGGAUCAGCACGCCGCGGUGAAUACGUUCCCGGGCCUUGUACACACCGCCCGUCACACCAUGAGAGUUUGUAACACCCGAAGCCGGUGGCGUAACCCUUUUAGGGAGCGAGCCGUCUAAGGUGGGACAAAUGAUUAGGGUG
rnacentral:rRNA from 1 species